rnacentral:rRNA from 1 species
AUGUAAAUUCCUACAAUGUUAAUGCAUCAAAUCCCAUCAAAACUCCACAGUUAAGCACACUUGGGCUAGGGAAGUACUGGGAUGGGUGACCUCCCCAAAAGUCUUAGUGUUUUACAUG